GUCACGUGACGAGGAACUAGCCGUAACCUUUCGGAAAUGCCUAAUUCUGGCAGGAUCCUGGUAACUUGGGUAACGGGCUGUUAGGAUGAGAAGCUUGGACUCCUCUCGUUUCCCCCUAAGACACUUUAGUCUGGGGCGGUCUCUGUGAUGCGGAAAUAUUUUCCUCUCCGGAGGGUUCCCUUCUCACCAUGUCUGGCUGGCGGCGUCCCAGAUGCCAUGUGAUGGUCAUUUGAAGACAGGACUGCCGGAUAUCAGGUUUCAUCCAAUUUUGGUGUUUAUCUGAAUUGUUGAUGCUGGAUGCAGGAGAAACCCAAGUGAUCAUUUUGUUAUUAAGGUAUCAAAGCAGCUUACGUUAGAAUGAAACUUUUCAGAAAGUUCAUGAAAGAUGCUGAAUGUCAUGGAAGGCCCAAAGUCCACAUGAGGAGAGAAGAUGCCUGAGACAAACAACUCCUAAUAAUAAUAAAUCUGAUGGUCUCUUCAUGCCACCCUGCAUUGAACCAGAAUUGACAGUCAUUCCUGACACUGUGCCACGUGACACUUACUGAAGAUCUGCAGGGACAGGAACUGGGGUGAGGUGAGCGAGGCACUUGAUUUGAGUGCAACAUUUAAGUAGGUCCCAAGAAACUCAGUAAUCAAGAUAAAUACUAUUUGUAAAGUGUUAAAUAUUUUAACACAUCAUUUUAAAAGUCAAAAUUAAGGCAAAUACUUAUGAUGGACAAACUUAAAAUUUUAAGUAAGGACAGGAUUUAAUAUAAAACUUGAUGUUAGCCAUUUAUAUUAUUAAGAUACCUCUGACUGACUAGACCUACAUCAUCUGCAUUUCCAGGUGUCUUAUUGCGGAAAUGUUUUACCUUUUUUAAUUUUUAAUUUUGUGGUACUUGAGAUUGAACCCAGGGCCUUGUGCAUGCUAGGCCGGUACUAUACCACUAAGCUACAACUCCAGCCCUUUUAUCUUUGUUCUCUUUAUUUCCAGGCCUUCCCCCCAGCAAUGGCAUAAUAUAGGAAAGUCAGUCUUCUUCUUUUUUACUUUUUUAUGGUGCUGGGACUCAAACUAGGACACCAUGCAUGCCAAGCACAUGCUGUACCACUGAGCCAAUCCCCAAUUGUAGUAUUUUAAAAAUUUUAUUAUGUAAAACUUAUCAGUCAUUGUCUCAUCUCCUUUCCAAACUCUGCUUUGCCUCCUGGCUUUCCAAAACCAAAAUGGCUCUUUAAGAUAUUUUGUAAAUAAUGGGCUACCUACUUCCUACUUUAGCAAUGUAAAUAAUUGAUUUUUCAAAACCAAAUUCUCAGGCAUCACUAUCUUUUCCACCCGAGUCUAUAAACCAAAGGCGGAGGUUGACUAUCUUAUUAUUCAUAUUUUUUUUUUUUGUGUGUGUGUGUGUGUGUGACUAGGGAUUGAACCUAGUGCCUUCCCAGCCCUUUUUGUUUUUUAUUUUGACACAGGAUCUCCUCAAUUGGAAGGCCAGCCUCAAAUUUGUGAUCCUCCUGCCUCAGCUUCCUGAGUAGCUGGGAUUAUAGGCCUGCACCACUAUGCCCAGCUCAUUGUCCAAUCUUUCUUUGACUCUUCAGUGUUGUUUUCUGCCUUCAUCACUAUAAUGAAUCCACUCCCGAAGCUUACUUAUGGUCUCUUCAUUCUUAAAUCCACUGGUUGUUGUAAAAGAUUUACCACUUUAACUAGGACUGUCCUGAGGAUAUGUGGAGUCUCAGGCAAAUGUUUUUGGCAGGCCCCUAUCAGUGUAAAUUAUUUGUUUAAAAACACAAUAAUUUCAUGGGCCCAUAUGAAGUAUGAUGAUUUAGCAGUGAAUAUAUAGAAUAAUGGAUAGUGAGGUAGUACUUACAUUGCUUAUUCAAUGCCCAUUACACCUGGAGCUUGGCAUAAGUUCUUGUUCUAGUAGUCUUUUGAGAAGGGGUGCUUAAAAGUUCUAUUUUUUGAGGUCUUGCAUAUUUGAACAUGUUUUUAUUCAACUCACACUUGAUUGGUAAUUUGCCUAGGAAUAGAACUGUAGAUGGAGAAAUAAACUUACCUUAGAAUUUUGGGGGUAUUUUUGUAAGUGAAAAUAAAGGCAAAGCUCUUUAACAAAGAAACCUCAAAAUACAGCAACUUAAACGUCUGAUUAGUAGUUCCUAUAUCGUCAUUGUGUCUUCUAAUCUCUAUCUCCUGGUCUUCUCCAUUACUUUCUUGGAGAAGUCUCUUUACUGUUGAAUUCAUUUUUUUUUCUGAUAUGGAAUCAUCUCUAUCAUGUUUUUCAUUACUUUCAGAAAACAUCCUGUUCUUAUUUCAAGGAUGUUAAAUCUUCUCCAAUAUCUCCAAACAGUAAUUAUAGCUUAAUAAAAUCUUAUUCCUGCACUGUCCCACCUUCUUCUGAGGCCCUUCCUUUUUUAAAUGUCUGAUGAUCCUUGGCUUUUUCUUCAUAUUUAAGAGUGAGGCAACAAAAAAGGUAAUUGUGAUCAUUGGUGGGGGUUUUCAGAAUAUGGGCAAAGACCUGGUUAUUUGGCAUGGGACCUUCCCUGGCCAGUACCUAUAGGUCUUUUUUAUUAGGAUGCUUGGUUUCUCCAGAGACCAAUCAUCUAAUUUCCUAUUUGGUGGGUAAAGCCUGACCAUUAGUAUUUGAAAGAUGACUGAGGACUCAAUAUUUAAUGUGUUGGCUUCCACUAGACUGUUUUCAAUAAGACACAUCCACUUGCUGUCCCAAUUCCAGAUCUUUCCGCUUCAUCACAGAAUAAACUCCAAGACUUCUGUUGUGAAUAAGGAGGGACAAUUGACGAACUGAGAUGAUGAAGGAAUAUGGGAGCCAUUUGCUUUUCAGACAGAUUUUCAAUCAAUUCUACUGUGUCCAGCCUCAACUUGUAUUCCUACCUUCAUAGGUUAUUGGUACUUCAAUUCCUGAAUCUUACUGAGUAUCUGUGCUUAUUGGCCCACCCAUACAUUGUAAGCAUAUGAUUUUUUUUAACAUUUUCUGGCUUGUUAAAUUAAUUACCAUGUGUCCAUCUGUUUUUAACUUCCAAAAUGCAGAUGUUGUUUCUUAUCUACUCUUAUGUCAUCUCCAAUUUUCUUUUUACUAGUUAAUCCACCAAUUGGCAUUUUAAUGGGGGAGGAGGAGAGAAAAAAAGGAGGCAGAGAUUUGAGCUUUCAGAAUUAACUACAAGGGCAUUAUUUUCUUAACUAGUUCCUGUUUUCCAUUUUUUCCCCCUUAGUCUCUCCUUUUUGGACUUUUAGAUAGAUUUUUGAACUUUUGAAGCUACCCUCUGCAUUUCUCAGUGCUUUCUUCCUCAAGUUUCAAAGAUUUAUUUCUGAUGUUGCAUUUUCAGAGAAUUUCUUGGUCAAAUCUUCCAACCUGCAAGUUGACUCUUCAAGUUUGUCCAUCCUGCCAAUAAUUUAAUUUCAACAGUUAUCAUUUUUCUACUUCCACGGUCUCUGCUUCAGUUAUUAACUUCCUGUUCCUAGUUCAUGAUGAUACUACCCAUCCUUAUCUUUUUGAAAAUAUUAAUUAUACUUAUUUUAAAGUCCUGUCUGACACUUUUCAGUUCUAUUUCAUUGAGUUUACAUUCCUUUAAUUUUUUGAGCUGAUGUCUCUCUUAUGGUGUUACAAACUUCUCAACCAUUUGGUGAUUCUUUUUUUUUUUUUGUGUGUGUGUGCACUCUUCUUCAUGAUUGAUGCUAUUUACUAGAAUGUCUGACAUCUCUGGCUUUCACAGCCCAGUUGGUUGGAGGGGCUGUUGUCACUGUCAGGAUUGCUUACCAUAUGUGUUUUAACUGAAAAUUUUAAGUGAAUGGGUUGUGCUGCUAGUGAGGUACAUGGGAAGUUUGUGUGCAGGGUGCAAUUGCUCCAUAGUCUCUGUGGAUAUCUCCCAUGGCAUAGUCUUGAUUCCUCCUGAGA